rnacentral:snRNA from 1 species
GGAUUUGAGGGUGAUCUGGCUGCAACAUCUGUCACCCCAUCGAUUGCCAGGGUUGAUUCGGCUGAUCUGGAUGGCUAGGCAGGUGUCCCUUCCCUCCCUCACUGCUCCAUGUGCAUCCCUCCUGAAGCUGCACGCUCAAAGAGGAUGACCUUCCCCGCUAGAGGAGGACCUUUUCGGUCAAGGGUAUGCGAGUACCUGCGCUCCCCUGCUAGAAUCUCCAAACAAGCUCUCAAGUAAAGGGAUAGGAGAGUCUUGUGUGGCCAGGGUCACUAUUAUCCUUAUAAGGGAUUUUGUCCUUUUCAG